UAUUGCUCUUCAACGAGGAAUCCCUAGUAAGCACAAGUCAUCAGCUUGUGUUGAUUACGUCCCUGCCCUUUGUACACACCGCCCGUCGCUACUACCGAUUGAAUGGCUUAGUGAGACCUCCGGAUCGGCAUUCAGAAGUUGGCAACAACAUCUGUCUGCUGAAAAAUUGUUCAAACUUGGUCAUUUAGAGGAAGUAAAAGUCGUAACAAGGUUUCCGUAGGUGAACCUGCGGAAGGAUCAUUAAUGAUUUUUUAAGCAAACCAAGCUUUUUUUUUAUAAAAAGUGAGGUUUUGCGAACGUAUUUAAAACCCCCACUCUUUUAAAAAAAAUAUAUAUUUCAUCCAUAUCAAAUGAAUAAAAAAAAGAUCACUUUCAACAACGGAUCUCUUGGCUCUCGCAUCGAUGAAGAACGCAGCGAAAUGCGAUAGGUAGUGUGAAUUGCAGAUGUAACGUGAAUCAUCGAAUCUUUGAACGCAAAUUGCACUCUCUGGUAUUCCGGGGAGUAUGCCUGUUUGAGGGUCGCCAAAUCAACAUCGAAAUUCGUUUGCUUUUUGCAAAUGUUUAUCGGAUUUGAGCCGUCUUUUAUUUUUUUAAAGUGGCUUAAAAUUUAUUUCUUGGUAUCGAAAAACGUUAUUUUACGAUCAAAUUGAUCAAAAAACAAACGUUUCGAAUGCCAUCUUUUAAUGUAAUACGUUUGACUGUGUUACAAUCAUAGGUUCAUUCGUAUACGAUUUUUUAAUUUUUGACCUCAAAUCAGGUAAGAACACCCGCUGAACUUAAGCAUAUCAAUAAGCGGAGGAAAAGAAAAUAACAAUGAUUCCCCUAGUAACUGCGAGUGAAGAGGGACAAGCUCAAAUUUUAAAUCUGUUCGGUUGGUACUGACAGAGUUGUAAUUUAAAGAAACGUUUUCUGUGUCUUGAGUUAAUCAAAAUCCUUUGGAAUGAGGUAUCAUGGAGGGUGACAAUCCCGUUCAUGGUUAAUUCUAAGAUGCUUUAUGAUGCGUUUUCGAAGAGUCGAGUUGUUUGGGAUUGCAGCUCAAAAUGGGAGGUAAAUUUCUCCUAAGGCUAAAUAUCGGCGAGAGACCGAUAGCGAACAAGUACCGUGAGGGAAAGAUGAAAAGAACUUUGAAAAGAGAGUAAAAUAGUACGUGAAAUUGUUGAAAGGGAAACGAUUGAAGUCAGUCGUACCGACGAGAAAUCAGCUCUUUGAGUGCGAACUUGUGGGCGUGCGUGAGUCUUUAACGGGCCUCGCUGUUUGCAAUUUUGUGCUUUUUGGGUGUACUUUUUCGUAUGGUGGGCCAACGUCAGUUUCGAUCACCGUAAAAUGAUCGGAGGAAUGUAGCUUCGAUCUCGUAUUGAAGUGUUAUAGCCUCUGGUAGAUGCGGUGACCGAAACUGAGGAUUGCAACGAAUACCCUUUUGGGCUAUCCGUCUGGCCUCUGAAAGUUGCUUAGGUGCCGAAAGCGUGCUUACGGCUAUUUAAGUUGGCGGUCAACAGGUUAGAACGUGAUUACAUUCGUUAAGGACGUUGGCGUAAUGGCUUUAAACGACCCGUCUUGAAACACGGACCAAGGAGUCUAACAUGUAUGCGAGUGUU
rnacentral:rRNA from 1 species